rnacentral:lncRNA from 1 species
UUUUUUUUUUUGAGACAAACGCUGCUACUACUGUAGAUUGCAGUUGUAGCUAGGGAGGGACCUUGUUUGCCCACUUUGCUGUGGCCUCUAAAUGAGCCCUGCAGGAGGGGGGCUAGCCGGUGUCUCCUCAUCAUAAGCCAAGAGACGCUGCCAUUCUAGUCUAGCUUGAGGCGACGGGGAAAUGGCUGCGGCGACGGCGAUGGCCAUGCUGGCGGCGCUGGCGAUCCUCGUCCUCAUGCCGUCGGCGCGAGGGCUCGGCCGCGCCGAGUUCCCGCCGGGGUUCCUCUUCGGCGUCGCGACGUCUGCUUACCAGGUUGGUGGAUCGGAGUUUGGCUUUAGCUUCGUCUCUUUUUGCCUUUGCCUCUCUCCUCGGUCCCAUGGCACGGUUACUGACCACGCAGUGUGAUUUCUGCUUCUGCUUCCAGAUCGAGGGCGCGUACCUGGAGGACGGCAAGGGCCUCAGCAACUGGGAUUUCUUCACCCACACAAACUGUAAGUCAUCUUCUCGGUUUUCUGGAGCUUCCAUGUCCUUGCGUGAUCCAUGGCAGUACCAUGUGUGUGGGUGUCGGUGUUCUUUUUUUUUUUUAGGAUUGUGUGAUCCAUGUUGCUUAGGGGGAUAAAGAUGAAAAUGAGUGGUUCCCUUCCACCCUGCUGUACGAAACAGAGACAGCGAUAGCUACCCGCAUCCACACUCUGUGCGUGGCCAAAUUCAAAUCGCCAUAACGAGAACCAAUCAGUAUAGUUGGAUGAUGGUACCCUCAAUCUAUCAGAGAUCAAAUCAUAGAUUUAACGUUUUGCCGUCCCAUUAAUGCGGAUUAUUAUUUUGAUGGGAUGAUAGUAGAUGUGAGUGGUGAUUUCGUUGAUCUUAAAGCUCCACAAUUUUGGUCCGAUCUUCAGCAGGCAUUGUGUGAGUGCGCGCGUGUGUGCAUGUACACGUCGUCGUAAUCAGUGUAUUAAAAAAUUCACAGUGCACUUUGGCAUCGUUGUCAAAUUUUCUAUUUGUCGUUCACGCAAUUCUUUUUUCCUAUUCGUCUCCACUCUAGUCAUUUGAAACACUGGAUGCAACAUGGGUCUGAUUGUGACACGAAUUAAUUUAUUUUGAAAAGAGAAAAAGACAAUCGUUGAGCGAUGCGCACUGCCAUACCCAUAUUUUUUAAUUUGGUAAUAGGGUGUGGUUGUUGAGCAAUGUGUGUGUGGUGCCAAAUCCUAUAAGAGUGGGGCCUAUAUAUAUCUGAGAAUAAACAAACAUUAAAUUUAGGUGCCAUGCGCGGUUUUCUCGUCUCUCUCAACCUCUUCUCCUCGGAAGCGUGCGCGCCAAGCUGCACCUCCGCCUCAUUUUUUUAAUUCUUCAGUUGAUUUGGUAUCGGAGCAGCUACGUGCUUCGGUUCUCAUAAAUUUGGCUUUGGCAAUGACCCCACAAUGUGUCGGCACUGGUUCCAUGGCCCAAAAGCGAAUUGGCAUACACUGUGGUUCCCCGACGUAAAUAGCAAUUCAGCGAAUCACGUUCGGCUUCGUCAAAGUUGGAUUGGAUGUUCUAUUAAUUUACCAUGUAUGUAGCCAGAUUACUUUAGUGUUAGCAAAUUAUCAGCAGGAUAGAGACAUAAACCAUUUCCUAUUACCUUACACUGGAGUCCAAAACAGUUCAUCUUUAAAGAUUCAGUUUUUUUUNNNNNNNNNNAUGACACCACAAGAUCCCGUGAACCUAUCCGCAUGAAAAGAAGCAUCAACAUUUAUUUUAACAGCUCCCACCACAGGCUUCUUCCAUAUAUGAUCCCGAUUGUGAGUAGGCUGAUUUGGAGUGUUUGCUCAUAAAAAUUUGUUGCUAGCAUCCGGAUUGUCAUUGCUGCUUGUUUAGGCAUCUGAACUAUCUCACCUUUUGUAUGGAUUCUCCUUUGCUACCAAAUAAACCACAUUGCUACAAGGACAAGCUCAGCUAUAGGAAUGUUAUGUACCGACGACUGCAUCUGGAUCAGGCUGUCAAGGUUAAUAGAGCCCGAUCGGUCCGGGCAAAACACUGGUCUAAUCUCCUGUGAUAGCCCUAGCUCCGUCCAAAUUGCAUGCGCCCCGGUACAAGUGAACAAGCAAUAUUGUAUCUUCCAAUCCGAUGGAACAGAUUUAACAUUGCGGGAUCAGAGGAAUAUAUCUAUUAGCAAGGACACCAUAGCAUGGUAGAACCCCCUUCAACACUUUCCAGCCAAAGUAUUUGAUUUUCCCUGGUAGUCGCAGUUUCCAAAGAUCUUUCCAAGCUCCAUUUAAUGAGGCACUACUUGGGCUAGUCCGAUUCAAGUGCUGUCCGAGCUGAUGCCCAAAUUCAACAUGGUAUGUCGAACGCACGGGAAAGGUCCCAGUCCUUGUAUGUUGCCAAGCUACAAAAUCUUCAACGGCCUCCACAUGAAAAGGAAUUUGUAGAAUUCUAUGCACAUCGACUGAUGAAAAGACGCCGCGAAUAAGUGCCUCAUCCCAUUGUUACCUCAUCCCUUCAGUCAACACAACAGGAGAGGCUAGCUGCACAGAUAUUUUGAGUUUUUGUUUUUGGUCCGCCGAGGUGUCACCAUCCGUGGUAGGUUACGACUAUCUUUCAUCUACAGUAUUAUGUAAUCUCCUUCACAUGCCAUCUCAUGUGCACCACGGGGGUCUUAGUCACGGGGAUAUUACUAGCAAUCAAUACUUGGUGUGGCCUAUAAAUAUGGGCCAUCAUCCAGGCCGUACGAGCUCUCGUCUGUGGACGCUGCUACUAGAUUUUUUUUUUUUUUGAGACAAACGCUGCUACUACUGUAGAUUGCAGUUGUAGCUAGGGAGGGACCUUGUUUGCCCACUUUGCUGUGGCCUCUAAAUGAGCCCUGCAGGAGGGGGGCUAGCCGGUGUCUCCUCAUCAUAAGCCAAGAGACGCUGCCAUUCUAGUCUAGCUUGAGGCGACGGGGAAAUGGCUGCGGCGACGGCGAUGGCCAUGCUGGCGGCGCUGGCGAUCCUCGUCCUCAUGCCGUCGGCGCGAGGGCUCGGCCGCGCCGAGUUCCCGCCGGGGUUCCUCUUCGGCGUCGCGACGUCUGCUUACCAGGUUGGUGGAUCGGAGUUUGGCUUUAGCUUCGUCUCUUUUUGCCUUUGCCUCUCUCCUCGGUCCCAUGGCACGGUUACUGACCACGCAGUGUGAUUUCUGCUUCUGCU